rnacentral:rRNA from 1 species
UGCAAGUCGAGCGGAACGAUCCUAGCUUGCUAGGAGGCGUCGAGCGGCGGACGGGUGAGUAACGCAUAGGAAUCUACCCAGUCGUGGGGGAUAACCUGAGGAAACUCAGGCUAAUACCGCAUACGUCCUACGGGAGAAAGCGGGGGCUCUUCGGACCUCGCGCGAUUGGAUGAGCCUAUGUCGGAUUAGCUAGUUGGUAAGGUAACGGCUUACCAAGGCGACGAUCCGUAGCUGGUCUGAGAGGAUGAUCAGCCACACCGGGACUGAGACACGGCCCGGACUCCUACGGGAGGCAGCAGUGGGGAAUAUUGGACAAUGGGCGAAAGCCUGAUCCAGCCAUGCCGCGUGUGUGAAGAAGGCUUUCGGGUUGUAAAGCACUUUCAGCGAGGAAGAAAGCGUGCCGUUUAAUACACGGUACGGACGACAUCACUCGCAGAAGAAGCACCGGCUAACUCCGUGCCAGCAGCCGCGGUAAUACGGAGGGUGCAAGCGUUAAUCGGAAUUACUGGGCGUAAAGCGCGCGUAGGCGGCGUGUCACGCCGGGUGUGAAAGCCCCGGGCUCAACCUGGGAACGGCAUCCGGAACGGGCAGGCUAGAGUGCAGGAGAGGAAGGUAGAAUUCCCGGUGUAGCGGUGAAAUGCGUAGAGAUCGGGAGGAAUACCAGUGGCGAAGGCGGCCUUCUGGACUGACACUGACGCUGAGGUGCGAAAGCGUGGGUAGCAAACAGGAUUAGAUACCCUGGUAGUCCACGCCGUAAACGAUGUCGACUAGCCGUUGGGUCCCUUGAGGACUUAGUGGCGCAGUUAACGCGAUAAGUCGACCGCCUGGGGAGUACGGCCGCAAGGUUAAAACUCAAAUGAAUUGACGGGGGCCCGCACAAGCGGUGGAGC